rnacentral:rRNA from 1 species
AUUGAACGCUGGCGGAAUGCUUUACACAUGCAAGUCGGGCGGCAGCAUGGACUUCGGUCUGAUGGCGAGCGGCGAACGGGUGAGUAAUGCAUCGGAACGUACCUAGUCGUGGGGGAUAACUACUCGAAAGAGUAGCUAAUACCGCAUACGUCCUACGGGAGAAAGCAGGGAUCGCAAGACCUUGCGCGAUUGGAGCGGCCGAUGUCUGAUUAGCUAGUUGGUGGGUAAAGGCCUACCAAGGCGACGAUCAGUAGCGGGUCUGAGAGGAUGAUCCGCCACACUGGGACUGAGACACGGCCCAGACUCCUACGGAGGCAGCAGUGGGGAAUUUUUGGGACAAAUGGGGGCGAACCCUGAUCCAGCCAUUCCGCGUGAGUGAAGAAGGACC